ensembl:lncRNA
UCAAGGAAUUGAAUCGGGCAAUGUCAGAAAAUGAAAACUUAUGUAGCCAUUCUCUUUGGAGCAUGAUCAUUUAAAUAGCAUGUAAAUCUAUUUUUUCCCUGCUGUUUGUAAUAUCAGUAACAUCCUCAGAAGGUGGUACUGAGAGUAGAUCUGAAAUUAGGAAUGUAUAUUGCAUAGGGAAUAUCAUUAACUAUUUGCUAUUUAUCCCAAUCUCGUGGAAAAAAACCUGAACACAGUUAAUACUGACAAACUUGUAGGUAAGAGUUCAAAUCAAAUCCUGAGAGCAACUACUGGACUUUGAAUGAUUUGGAGCAGAGCUUGGAGCAGUAUUUCAUACUCACUUCUUAUAGCCAUAGUGGAUCAAAUCAGAAGUCUGUUUCAUAUUUUCUUUGAAUUAUGUGAGUUCGAAAUCCUGAUCAUAACGUUGCUACUCAGUGGAUAUGUAUUCAUUGGCAUUAGCAUUUCUGAAUGGAUUAACUCAGCCAUUGUGAAAAACAGAUUCUGCAGUUUACUUAAAGAUAAGCAUGAGCAGCGUCAGGUCAAACAUUUUGGAAAUUUCCCAACAGAAAAGGCUCGCUCAUGGAAACUAAAUGUUCUGUAGAAAAGCUGUGAAUUUGAUGAAACUAUUGAAAAGAAGCCAGCAGGCAUUUGACCAAAAUCUUGCUAUUUUUCUGUCAGUUCACCUAUCUUUCUUUCCCCUCCUAGGCAAUAUCAGCCUCCAUGGGCUUGCAGAAGGACUGGGAAAAAGAAAACAACAACAAGAAAUCUCAAGGACAAACUGGCACCUGAGGAAAGAUGCACGUGAACCAGCCGCCUGGUAGGAUGGGGAUCCUCUGUGCCUUCUGGGGAGAUUAAACAAUGUCUGAGCUCCAGACUCCAAGAUACUCAAGCAGCCUGUGGAAAAUGAAAACCAGAGCAAUACUUGUUUCCUAGGAAAAAAUGAACAAAUUAAAAUGAGUGGGGAGGACAGACCCACCUCAGUUUUAGAGUGGAAAGAAAUCCUCAGGAAGCUCUGCUGUGCUCCAUCCCUGACAAAGGCUCUUUAUACUCAACAAGCCUCAGCUACUGGGCAGGAGAUGUUUAUUGUAAUGAAAGACUCUUCAGAAAGUUUGGAACACAAAGAUUUUAUCUUUGUCAGGGGAACACCUAGUGGUUAGUUAACCUUUGAAUAGGACUUCUAAGACAAUGACAACUGCAGGAUUUGGUGCUGUAUGUGGUCUGGAUUUUAUUACAUGAAACACAAGGCAACAUACAGAAUAAACCUCUAAAUUUCUGACAUGGAGAGACUUUGCUUGUCCUUUCCAAAAGAAAGUUGCCUGAAUUUUCUUCACCCUCAUGGCCAGCCACACAUACCUUCUCCUAGCUGAGCUUGGAUACCCUUUGCAGCUGCUCCCAUACUGUCUCAGUUCUUCCAUGUUCACUGUCUGAGAAAGGCAAAAAAGGAGUUUUCAGAAAAAAAAAAAAGGUUUACUCCACAGGUGCAGAGAACCAUGAACUGGCUUAACCCUGGCAGCAGUGCAGAGAUAGCCCUGGUGACCCACAUGCAUUAGCACCAGCACCAGGAGCAGGAGUGCUGCUUCACCACGGUGCUGAACUGACCUCCAAUAUCCCUGCCUUUCUGCACUGUGCAUGACUUCACAGUGAGCUGGUUAAUGUUAGGAUGGGAAUCUUUGCAACACAGUUGGCAUAGAUCAGACAGUAAGCGCUGAGGUUACUUUGGCCCCUCUGAAAGUCUUUAAGUGACCGGAGUGCUUGUGUCUUCUGUGCCCUCAGCAGAGAAGCCGUUGCCUCCAGCUGCAUUUUCACUGUGUGGGAAUUGUUUGAACUCACCACUGUUGCCACAGCUGCUAAAGGAAAACAUGUAGUUAAAGAUGAGGCUGUGCAUACAUUAUAGAUAUAGGCAUAUGGUUGUCAAGCUGCUGCCCAACAGCUUCCAUAGUUAUAUGGCACCUUAUGUUAUCCAAAGCACUUGAAAUUUUUUAGAUAACAAAAGCAAACCAAGACAGCUAUUAUGGCUUUGUGCUGCACUUGCUUCCUGAUAGAGUUGCCAAUCCAGUACUUUGAAUUCUGUGCCAGCAGCUUUGACACAAGUGAAAGAGCAAGCUGUGCUUUUAACAGAUGCAAAUGCUUUAGUUGCAGUGAUCAUUGCUUUCUCAAAAUCAUUAUCACAUAUGUGGGAUUUCAUAUUCAUACUUUUUCAAAGCAGCAACGUUCAGAUGAUUAGAGCAACAUUUUCUUAGCACCAGUAGAUUUUUAAGGAGCAUAAGCAACUGACAUUAUCUUGACUCAAGCAAGCAUUUUACUGUCCCACCAGUGCUUCUGCUGAACAGACACACAACACAUGGUUGGCACUGUUGGAAAUCUUGCAUAGUGCCACCACUGUGCCAUACCAGCAAUGAGCCAUACUGAUGGAUUUCUAGGAAUCUGCAGUCUUCUCUGAUUACAGGGGAAUAAGGACAAACAAAACAGUGUUAAGCCAGCAUUAAGUUACUGGCUUAGAUAUUCUCGAUUUGAGAAUAGCUC